UGGGGAAUAUUGCACAAUGGGCGCAAGCCUGAUGCAGCCAUGCCGCGUGUGUGAAGAAGGCCUUCGGGUUGUGAAGCACUUUCAGCGGGGAGGAAGGCGUUAAGGUUAAUAACCUUGGCGAUUGACGUUACCCGCAGAAGAAGCACCGGCUAACUCCGUGCCAGCAGCCGCGGUAAUACGGAGGGUGCAAGCGUUAAUCGGAAUUACUGGGCGUAAAGCGCACGCAGGCGGUCUGUCAAGUCGGAUGUGAAAUCCCCGGGCUCAACCUGGGAACUGCAUUCGAAACUGGCAGGCUAGAGUCUUGUAGAGGGGGGUAGAAUUCCAGGUGUAGCGGUGAAAUGCGUAGAGAUCUGGAGGAAUACCGGUGGCGAAGGCGGCCCCCUGGACAAAGACUGACGCUCAGGUGCGAAAGCGUGGGGAGCAAACAGG
rnacentral:rRNA from 1 species